rnacentral:rRNA from 1 species
AGAGUUUGAUCAUGGCUCAGGAUGAACGCUGGCGGCGUGCCUAACACAUGCAAGUCGAACGAACUAGUUUAAAGGAAGUCUUCGGAUGGAAUUUAGAUUAGUUAGUGGCGGACGGGUGAGUAACGCGUGGGGAACCUGCCCUAUACAGGGGGAUAGCCUCGGGAAACCGGGAUUAAUACCCCAUAAAACUCUAGUAUCGCAUGAUACGUGAGUCAAAGCUGAGGCGGUAUAGGAUGGCCCCGCGUCUGAUUAGCUAGUUGGUGAGGUAACGGCUCACCAAGGCGACGAUCAGUAGCCGGCCUGAGAGGGUGGACGGCCACACUGGAACUGAGACACGGUCCAGACUCCUACGGGAGGCAGCAGUGGGGAAUAUUGCACAAUGGGGGAAACCCUGAUGCAGCGACGCCGCGUGAGCGAAGAAGGCCUUCGGGUCGUAAAGCUCUGUCCUAAGGGAAGAAGAGGACGGUACCUUAGGAGGAAGCCCCGGCUAACUACGUGCCAGCAGCCGCGGUAAUACGUAGGGGGCGAGCGUUAUCCGGAAUUACUGGGCGUAAAGGGUGCGUAGGCGGCCUUUUAAGUCAGAUGUGAAAGGCUACGGCUUAACCGUAGUAAGCAUUUGAAACUAGAAGGCUUGAGUGCAGGAGAGGAGAGUGGAAUUCCUAGUGUAGCGGUGAAAUGCGUAGAUAUUAGGAGGAAUACCAGUGGCGAAGGCGACUCUCUGGACUGUAACUGACGCUGAGGCACGAAAGCGUGGGGAGCAAACAGGAUUAGAUACCCUGGUAGUCCACGCCGUAAACGAUGAGUGCUAGGUGUUGGUGGAGACAUCCAUCAGUGCCGCAGCUAACGCAUUAAGCACUCCGCCUGGGGAGUACGGUCGCAAGACUGAAACUCAAAUGAAUUGACGG